AAAUAGUGACGGUGCCAAUAGUGACAACAGUCUCUGAGUUCAUGAAACAUAGAAUCUCCUGUGCUGCUUGGUCCAGAGAUUGUGUCAUCAUGGCAAAAAUAUGUUUGUGGACUUACCUGUUUACCCUGAUCAGAGUGUCUUGUCUUAUGCUGGGUGCAACAGCAGACAGCGAUUGCUCAGAGGACAACCUGCCUAUUGAAGGUGGACACUACACUCUAAGUAAAGGUGUUAAGGUUGGCAGUGUGCUGGUCUACCACUGUCCAUCUGGGUACUAUUCUCCCGUCAGAAGUCGACGCUGUCUGGGAAAUGGGAAGUGGGAUCCUCUUCCAAAACGCUCAAGACCUACCAGACCUGGACUGCAGUGCAAACUUGUCAGAUGUCCUUACCCCCUUGGAUUUCAGCAUGGAUCAGUUUCACCGUUGCAGGACAAAUACUAUGUGAAUGACACUACGACGUAUGAAUGCUUUUCAGACUACAAACUCUCUGGGUCUGAGACUCGUGUUUGCAAUGCCAAUGGAAAGUGGAGUGGUAGCACACCAAUAUGCAGUCGUAACAGUGAUCACUGCCCAGAUCCUGGAGUUCCUGCAGGAACUCGCCGGACAGGUAACGAAUUCUACAUCGGCGACAAGGUCUCCUACCGCUGUGAGGAUGCACUGACGCUUAUUGGCUCCAAUGAGCGGACGUGCAAGGAGAGCGGCGAGUGGACUGGACAGGAGCCAGAGUGCUACUAUGAGUAUACAUAUGACACACCAGUAGAAAUUGCAGAGGUAUUCAGCAAAUCCAUUCAAACAACCUUAACUGAGGACGUUAAUAAACAACAAGGGAAGAAAAUAAACCUGGAUAAGGAUGGGAAUCUCCACAUCUACAUUGCCCUUGAUGCUUCGGAUAGUAUUGAUAUCAACAUAUUUAAUCAGUCGAGGGAUGUCAUUAAGCAGCUCAUUGAGAAGAUUUCCGACUAUGAGGUGUCCCCCAAAUAUGAUAUUGUAGUUUUUGCCACAAAGGUGACCAAAAUUGUAGACAUAACAGACUACUACUAUAAACGGACCGCCAAGGAACUUUUUGAAGUCAUCGAAGAUUUGGACAGGUUUGAUUAUGACAAAAUCAGAGAUAAUGCAGGAACAAAUAUUGCUGAAGCUUUUCACCACAUUUACCAUCAAAUGAGCUUGAUGAAGACUAGAGCUGAGCUUGAGAACAGCCCUGAGUUUGAGAACAGCAGUCACACCAUUAUCAUGUUCACUGAUGGUGAAGCCAACAUGGGUGGCAAACCGGAUGGUAAAAUCAAUCAAAUCAAGGAUAUAAUACUUGGAAACAAAGACAACUCACGGACUCUUGAGAUCUACAUGUUUGGCGUGGGCGAAAUCGAUGACAUGCAGAGAGCUGAUCUCAAUAGUUAUGCAACCAAAAAAGACAAAGAAAAGCAUGUCUUUUAUGUGGACGACAUGAAGAAACUGCAUGAGACCUUUGACCUAAUGCUUGAUGAGAGCACCAGUGUAGGUUUGUGUGGACUCCACAGGGACUACAGAUAUAAAGAUGCUCCGAACCCGCCAAACCCUAUGAAACAACCUUGGCUGGUUAAAAUCAGUGUCACGCAUGAAAAUGGACUUUCCUCCAAUUGUUUGGGUUCUCUCAUCACUCCCCGUUGGGUCUUAACGGCUGCCCAUUGCUUCAAGUUCGGAGACAUAAGCGAAAAAAUCUAUAUAACUCUCAGCUCUGGCGAGAUUGCAGUGGUGAAAGAUUUCACUCCGCAUAAAGAAUUUAAUAUAAGUUCGAAAAAGGAUAAAGGAGUAUCUGAAUCUUAUGACUAUGAUGUGGCUCUUAUUCAACUAAAUGAAACUAUUAAGGUCUCUGACAAGAAAAGACCUAUCUGCAUUCCCUGCACUAAAGAAACAAGUGCUGCUUUAAAACUGGUUGGCAGUGAUGAUACAUGUGAGAGACAUGGAACAUGUACCUGAUGGAAAGACGACGGAAUAGUAGUUGGAGGAGCUGAAGGCUGAGGCUGAAAAACUGUAUCUACGGAAAUGCCUGCCAGCUGUCGUGAAAGAUUUUCUCUAAAGUCUAUCUGGCUGUAGCUACCUAACCUAGGUUCAACACCAGAUUCUGCAUUGCGCUGACAGUCUUGAAAUAAUAAGAAACUAUUGACGACGGCAAUGUCCACAAAGUGGAGAAAAAGCGUUUUCCACCACUUCUGUGUUUUUUGGAGUACACAAUAUGUACUUAUCAUUUGGUCCGACCUAUCAACACCCCCCAUGUAUUUGUUGUAAUCACUUACCACAAUAGGCUGACGUACAACUUUUUUGUCCCAAACCGAAUUGUUCUUCACGUGUGUAUGAAUGAUCAGUAUCGCGGCUGUUGACGGCAAAAAUGAAACAUUUAGCGACAGCCGGGCGCUAAACGUACAUGGCCCAAUUCUGUAAAGUGACUGUCGGCCCAUUACAUGUGGAAGAGCCAUGAGCAGAGCAACUGUUCAGUUUGAAACCAGGACGGCGCGAAACUGUCUCGUUUUGGACACUGCCUGUGGUAAGUAACAUGCAACUUUACCUUUACCUGUUAUUGCAUGUAAAUCAUCAUGAAUGUACGUAGGCUUAUUAUUGCAGACAAAGUUUAACAAGUAGCAUAACAAGAAUGGGUGUUUCAAUCUAACCCCCUUGACGACGAUGACGAAGCUAGCGGCAACAUAACGUUAUGAUUUCUUAGUCUACUUUGUAGGCCUAAUUACCGUUAACGUCAGUGUUGGUGGUUUGUCAAAAACAUUCAGUGCUGUAAUGUUAGCUAUACUUGCAUAAUUAUGUGGUUUUCAAAGAAAAGUGUGAUCUAAUCAUUUUAGAAAUAGCUUAACAGUUAACCAGUAUUGCAUGACUUAGAAUAUAGCGAUUGGUAAUUAGGCAUUUCAUCGUUAUCUAUCAAACUUCAGGCACUAGGAAGGCAGGACUGAGACUGUAUGCCUUAAGAGAGUGUGUGUGUGUGUGUGUGUGUGAUAGAGAGAGAUAGUAGCAGGGUGGGUCCUGUCCUGGUCAUGUAAAGCUCAUCAAAAUCUGUAAUUUAAGGUCGUUCUGUAUUUUGUACUGAGGGGUUGUUUAUGAUCAUGUAAUCAUUUUGAACACAUAUACUUCCAUUAACCUAACGUUACUGUGACUUUUUUUAAAUGUACACCUCAGAAUCCAGGCCACACUGACCAGAGAACUGCACUCCUUUGGAUGAAGAAGGCUACCCGUGUAUACAUGUGUAAACCAUUUCUUGUGUUGGAAAAACAGGACACCUGAAGAGCUCUUGAUGCUUUUGGUUUGCCUCAUCCAUUAUGUCAGCAAAGAACAGGAGUGGGCAGGAAACAUGCGCUGUUGAAAACAUGGCCAACCAACUGGAGCACCCACAAGGCUCUUGUGAAGGAAGUCCACAAGCCUUUGUGCUUCAGGAUGGAUGGCAAGAACUCUUUGAUCAACCCCCACAGAGAGCUGAGAUGGCUAUCUUUUGGAGACACCCCCGGCUGGUAGUGCUGCUGAAACUGUUGGAGGCAACAAUGAAGCGGCAACAGAAAGAGAAGGCAGGUGGCAAAGGUUGCUGCUAUUGAAAAAUACUUUGAGAGUGAGUGUGUGUGCAUGUAUGUAGCUGGGUAGGUCAUGGUACAUGGUACAAAAAUACAGAAUUUAAAGCACUAGCACAACACUUAACUCACAACCCACAACGACUGACAAUGGAAUUACUCUUUUAGAGUGAGUGAGUGAGUGAGUGAGGGAGAGAGAUAGAAUAUUUCUGUAAAUGUUUAAUGUUAAUUUAGAAUAAUUUAUUUCUUUGAAUCAUUAUACAGUUUUAAAAUGUUUAAUUGUUUGUGUUUUUGUAUAUGAAAGAUGUUGAUUGUUGUAGAUAAAAGUAGUUUGUAUAUUUUAACUUGUUUAAUUUCUAAAGUGUAU